rnacentral:rRNA from 1 species
GGUUAAGCGACUAAGCGUACACGGUGGAUGCCCUGGCAGUCAGAGGCGAUGAAGGACGUGCUAAUCUGCGAUAAGCGUCGGUAAGGUGAUAUGAACCGUUAUAACCGGCGAUUUCCGAAUGGGGAAACCCAGUGUGUUUCGACACACUAUCAUUAACUGAAUCCAUAGGUUAAUGAGGCGAACCGGGGGAACUGAAACAUCUAAGUACCCCGAGGAAAAGAAAUCAACCGAGAUUCCCCCAGUAGCGGCGAGCGAACGGGGAGCAGCCCAGAGCCUGAAUCAGUGUGUGUGUUAGUGGAAGCGUCUGGAAAGGCGCGCGAUACAGGGUGACAGCCCCGUACACAAAAAUGCACAUGCUGUGAGCUCGAUGAGUAGGGCGGGACACGUGGUAUCCUGUCUGAAUAUGGGGGGACCAUCCUCCAAGGCUAAAUACUCCUGACUGACCGAUAGUGAACCAGUACCGUGAGGGAAAGGCGAAAAGAACCCCGGCGAGGGGAGUGAAAAAGAACCUGAAACCGUGUACGUACAAGCAGUGGGAGCACGCUUAGGCGUGUGACUGCGUACCUUUUGUAUAAUGGGUCAGCGACUUAUAUUCUGUAGCAAGGUUAACCGAAUAGGGGAGCCGAAGGGAAACCGAGUCUUAACUGGGCGUUAAGUUGCAGGGUAUAGACCCGAAACCCGGUGAUCUAGCCAUGGGCAGGUUGAAGGUUGGGUAACACUAACUGGAGGACCGAACCGACUAAUGUUGAAAAAUUAGCGGAUGACUUGUGGCUGGGGGUGAAAGGCCAAUCAAACCGGGAGAUAGCUGGUUCUCCCCGAAAGCUAUUUAGGUAGCGCCUCGUGAA